rnacentral:rRNA from 1 species
CGCGCAGGCGGCCAGGUCAGUCGAAUGUGGAAGCCCCCGGCUCAACUGGGGAAGGUCGUUCGAUACUGCCUGGCUCGAAGAUAGGAGAGGGAAGUGGAAUUUCAGGUGUAGUGGUGAAAUGCGUAGAUAUCUGAAGGAACACCAGUGGCGAAGGCGACUUUCUGGCCUAUUCUUGACGCUGAGGCGCGAAAGCUAGGGGAGCGAAC